rfam:Populus trichocarpa scaffold_36_contig_19, whole genome shotgun sequence.
UCAUCUGUCUAGAGCAGAUACUAAUCUAAUUGUGACAGACCCACAUAUGGCAGCUCAGAAUCAUCUGUUAUCGCAAACCCAACUACAUCAUUAAUGGUCUCUCAAGGUAAGUCAUGAGGAAUUUGAAGCAUAUAAAACGAUAUAAGUUGUCCCAAUAUCAUAAA